GUAGGGAGCAAGCGUUAUCCGGAUUUAUUGGGUGUAAAGGGUGCGUAGACGGGUAAUCAAGUUAGUUGUGAAAUCCCUUGGCUUAACUGAGGAACUGCAACUAAAACUGGUUAUCUUGAGUACAGGAGAGGUAAGUGGAAUUCCUAGUGUAGCGGUGAAAUGCGUAGAUAUUAGGAGGAACACCAGUGGCGAAGGCGACUUACUGGACUGAAACUGACGUUGAGGCACGAAAGUGUGGGGAGCAAACAGGAUUAGAUACCCUGGUAGUCCACACUGUAAACGAUGGAUACUAGGUGUAGGGGAUAUUAAGUUCUCUGUGCCGUCGCAAACGCAGUAAGUAUCCACCUGGGGAGUACGACCGCAAGGUUG
rnacentral:rRNA from 1 species